rnacentral:lncRNA from 1 species
AAGUGUUUCACUCGAUCACUCAAGUGUUUAAGGUAGCACUCCAACACUCUAUCAUUCACAAGUCACAUGAAACAAAAUUGCCAUUCAUCUAAAACAACCAAAAUUCUUACAUGCAAAUGCCAUCAAAAGGACUUUUUCAAGGCUUGUAAUGAGGUUGGGCUAACAAGAAUAUUGGUUUUUCUGGAAUGCAAAGUCCUUGAGUUAAGAGAGCUACCAUAGUAUUCAACAUUUAAGUACCACUCUCUUCCUCACCAAUCUCACUGAGCUCAUCUUCAUGCUUUUUCUUCUUUUCUUUUCUUUUUCUCAUGUAUUUUUCUUUCACACAUUUGAGCUCAAUGCUUUUCCAUUGCCUUUCAAUUUCCCCCAUGCAACCCCAAACUUGAACCUUUUCAUCGCAUACAAUUAAGCUCAUCCCAACUCAAGGUAAA